rnacentral:tRNA from 1 species
GCCCGCUUAGCUCAGUGGCCCAGAGCGCAGGUUCUUCGAACCUGAUAUCGCUGGUUCGAAUCCAGCAGCGGGCU